GUGCUCAUCCCAGCAGCGCACAGACUAAAACUGAAAUGAUGCACGGACGGUUAGCAUGGCCCCUGCACAAGAUAACACACACAUCCUGCAAAGCCCACACUGUGUGU